rnacentral:misc_RNA from 1 species
AGUCUAGCAUUCCAGGAAAUUUUCGUUUUCGGCCAUUUGACAGAAAAGAGAUGAUGCCCUUUUUCACCUUCUGUCAUAUACUCUUCUGAGAAGCCAUGUGGGAAGGAAGAAGGUUUAUAGUCCAUUCGAAUCAAUUCAACAAAUGAUCAAAAGAAGGCCAUGUGUUUCAACACUGGCGUAGUGGAGGAGAAUAGCAGGAAAAUUGCUGUCCUUCUAAAGUAGGUAAUUAAAGAAAAUUCUCUGAAAUUUGUGACGGAUCUUAUAGCUGAUUAAUUCUUUGAAUGUUAG